rnacentral:rRNA from 1 species
UACAGAGGUGGCAAGCGUUGUUCGGAAUUACUGGGCGUAAAGGGCGCGUAGGCGGCCUUGUAAGUCAGACGUGAAAUCCCCCGGCUUAACCUGGGAACUGCGUCUGAUACUGGACGGCUUGAGUUUGGGAGAGGGAUGCAGAAUUCCAGGUGUAGCGGUGAAAUGCGUAGAUAUCUGGAGGAAUACCGGUGGCGAAGGCGGCAUCCUGGGCCAACACUGACGCUGAGGCGCGAAAGCUAGGGGAGCAAACGGG